AACGCACAUUGCGCCCGUCAGUAUUCUGGCGGGCAUGCCUGUUCGAGCGUCAUUUCAGCCAUCAAGCCUCGUGCUUGUGUUGGGGUUCUGCGGCUGCCGCAGUCCCCUAAAAGCAGUGGCGGACUCACUGUCAUACUGAGCGCAGUAGCAUAUCUCGCUCUGGGCAUGAUAGUGAGUACUAGCCGUUAAAUACAUUACGUAGGGUUGACCUCGGAUCAGGUAGGAAUACCCGCUGAACUUAA
rnacentral:misc_RNA from 1 species